rnacentral:rRNA from 1 species
CGCCUGGGGAGUGCGGCCGCAAGGUUAAGACUCAAAUGAAUUGACGGGGGCCCGCACAAGCGGUGGAGCAUGUGGUUUAAUUCGACGCAACGCGAAGAACCUUACCUGGCCUUGACAUGCAGAGAACUUUCCAGAGAUGGAUUGGUGCCUUCGGGAACUCUGACACAGGUGCUGCAUAGCCGUCGUCAGCUCGUGUCGUGAGAUGUUGGGUUAAGUCCCGUAACGAGCGCAACCCCUAUCCCUAGUUGCUAGCAGUUCGGCUGAGAACUCUAGGGAGACUGCCGGUGACAAACCGGAGGAAGGUGGGGAUGACGUCAGGUCAUCAUGGCCCUUACGGCCAGGGCUACACUCGUGCUACAAUGGUGCGCACAGAGGGCUGCAAACCCGCGAGGGGGAGCCAAUCUCACAAAACGCAUCGUAGUCCGGAUCGCAGUCUGCAACUCGACUGCGUGAAGUCGGAAUCGCUAGUAAUCGUGAAUCAGAAUGUCACGGUGAAUACGUUCCCGGGCCUUGUACACACCGCCCGUCACACCAUGGGAGUGGAUUGCACCAGAAGUGGUUAGUCUAACCUUCGGGAGGACGAUCGCCACGGUGUGGUUCAUGACUGGGGUGAAGUCGUAACAAGGUAACCGUA